CCUACGGGUGGCUGCAGUGAGGAAUAUUGGUCAAUGGGCGUAAGCCUGAACCAGCCAAGUCGCGUGAGGGAUGAAGGUUCUAUGGAUCGUAAACCUCUUUUAUCAGGGAAUAAAGUGUGGGACGUGUCCUAGUUGGUAUGUACCUUAUGAAUAAGGAUCGGCUAACUCCGUGCCAGCAGCCGCGGUAAUACGGAGGAUCCGAGCGUUAUCCGGAUUUAUUGGGUUUAAGGGGUGCGUAGGCGGGCUUUAAAGUCAGCGGGAAAAGCGUGGGGCUAAACCCAGGACAGCCGUUGAAACUGGGGGUCUUGAGUAGGAGAGAGGUAUGCGGAAUGCGUGGUGUAGCGGUGAAAUGCAUAGAUAUCACGCAGAACUCCGAUUGCGAAGGCAGCAUGCCAGGCCAUGACUGACGCUGAAGCACGAAAGCGUGGGUAUCGAACAGGAUUAGAUACCCUGGUAGUC
rnacentral:rRNA from 1 species